rnacentral:rRNA from 1 species
UACGAAGGGGGCGAGCGUUGUUCGGAUUUACUGGGCGUAAAGGGCGCGCAGGCGGCAGACCAAGUCAGGCGUGAAAGCCCCGGGCUCAACCUGGGAAUGGCAUCCGAUACGGCGGGACUGGAGUGUGGGAGAGGUUGGUGGAAUUCCCAGUGUAGAGGUGAAAUUCGUAGAUAUUGGGAAGAACACCGGUGGCGAAGGCGGCCAACUGGACCACAACUGACGCUGAGGCGCGAAAGCGUGGGGAGCAAACAGG